UUGGCCGGGACUUCUUCUGUAGGUACCGUCAUUUUCGUCCCUACUGAAAGGGGUUUACAACCCGAAGGCCUUCAUCCCCCACGCGGCGUUGCUGCGUCAGGCUUUCGCCCAUUGCGCAAGAUUCCCC
rnacentral:rRNA from 1 species